CGUAUAUGAGGUAAGCUUACUGGGAGUGAAGGCAGUGCAUAUGACCGCUUGAUAUGAGAGACACAUCCUGUUUUUAAAGGUGGAUCAUCAUGAGUGAAGCUCUGCAGGUCGGCCAUUGACUUGAUAACAGUGGUUUAUGUUUAUUCAAUUUAUGAAUAAAUCUCUCGCCAACCAUUCACCUAUUUACUGACAAAACAGAUCCAAAUCUUGUUCAGCCUGAUGCUCAACCUUGUAUGAUGAUUACCACUAGCCUGGGUGCCAGCCGAUCUUAGCCCCGCCCACAACAUUUUGAGAACGGGAAGAUCGGUCUGGGGUUUCUGCGUUGAGGAGCUACUAUGCUAGACCCAAAGCUGGUCGAACCAAUCAAAUUGUCAGGGCGGGCUUUAUACGAUGAUGGACAGAUGAUCAACAGUAACGUAAUGAACCACGUCACCAAAGAGCACGUGUGUUGAAUCUGUUUACAACAAAAUGGCUGCCGCGGUAGAAAUCAGAUGUGUGGAUUCUGACAUUGAGUCUGUUCUAAAAGAUAUCGACAGAGCAUUGAUUUUAAAAGAGGAACAGAGAAACGCGAGCAAGGCAUUUGUUGAUGUUUUUGCCGUCCUUCCUAUGGGAUUUCGACAAAAGUUGGUCGCAACUGAAAUGGGUAUCACAGCGAUGCAACUCGGCGUGCAUGACGAGAUGGAUAUAAUUAGCGGUCGUUGCCAGCUUUUUUUGGAAGCCCGGAAUCGUGGUUGCUGAAUAAGUGGAGGGACAUGCUAGGCUCCAAUAUUUUCAAGCAAACGUAAUGGGUAUCGUCGUGGAUGAAGUUCACCUAAUGUACAAAUGGUAAGAGAUGGUCUUACUGGAUGACUUAGUAAAUACUUAAUGUUGUGAUAUAAACGAAAUGUUGUAAACAUAGUAGGUGUUGAUGUACAUUCGCUAACUCAGACUUAGUAUAAUCACAAUGUUAGUGUCAUUGUAGCGAAAUAACUAGCAGUUCGGUCAGGCUGCAAAAGACGUAAUUUCAACAUACGUCUCACACCCCGUUGCUCUGAUUGGUCGUAGGUCUAUCCAAUUGAGUGCAGAGGCAUUUUUCGGUUGAGACACGUCUCAUAGUUACAGCUCAAUGGAGCGGUAUCAGACUCAAAUUCUGACUAGAAUUGAGUAUGACAACGUCAGGCUAGAUGACCACUGCAAGGUGAUGGAAAUCUGCGUCUCAAGAUCAACAUGACGAUAGCAGACCAUCUCUUAUCUUACUAAAUGUUCAACUUCAUUGCCACAAAACAAAGAACAUUGGAUGGAGUAUGUACUGUACAAUGAUCCAGCAAACAAAAUAAUAUGGACUUUUUUGGCGAGAUUCUACAAACAUUGACACAAUCCUAUUGACUUUUAUUUUUACAGUUAGUAAUGUAUUAUUAACAUCCCAUUCAUUUGUAUUCUAUGCCAUUUAUCUGUUUGUGCUAAAGUGAAUGUAAUGUCAUAAUAUGUUAAUAUUCAGUAUUUAUUAUCAUUUGCAUGAUUUGAUGUCGCAUAUGUCAUGAUUUUAUUGAUUUCAAGUUAUUGUUGUCUAUUUAGAAUGAUUGUCUUUGCCAAAUUUUAUUGUUCAUUUAUUUA